GGUGUGGUAGCUCAGUGGCAGAGCAACCGGUUGCAGCCCGGUGAGUCGAAGGUUCAAUUCCCACCCACAUCU